UACAGAGGGUGCAAGCGUUAAUCGGAAUUACUGGGCGUAAAGCGUGCGUAGACGGUUACAUAAGUCGGGUGUGAAAGCCCCGGGCUCAACCUGGGAAUUGCAUUCGAGACUGCGUAGCUAGGGUGCGGAAGAGGGAAGCGGAAUUUCCGGUGUAGCGGUGAAAUGCGUAGAGAUCGGGAAGAACACCAAUGGCGAAAGCACUCUGCUGGGCCGAAACUGACACUGAGAGACGAAAGCUAGGGGAGCGAAUGGG
rnacentral:rRNA from 1 species